UACAGAGGGGGCGAGCGUUGUUCGGAAUUACUGGGCGUAAAGGGCGCGUAGGCGGCCCGCUAAGUCGAUCGUUAAAUCCCCAGGCUCAACCUGGGAACUGCGUCCGAUACUGGCAGGCUUGAAUCCGGGAGAGGGAUGUGGAAUUCCAGGUGUAGCGGUGAAAUGCGUAGAUAUCUGGAGGAACACCGGUGGCGAAGGCGGCAUCCUGGACCGGUAUUGACGCUGAGGCGCGAAAGCUAGGGGAGCAAACGGG
rnacentral:rRNA from 1 species